UCCCGGUUGGCCCGGGCGGUCUCGCCUGAAAAAUACAACAGACGAUAAGGGUUGCGCUCGUUGCGGGACUUAACCCAACAUCUCACGACACGAGCUGACGACGGCCAUGCAACACCUGUCACCAGGUUCCUAAAAGGCACAGCACUGUUUCCAGCGCCUUCCUGGGAUGUCAAGCCUCGGUAAGGUUCUUCGCGUAGCAUCGAAUUAAACCACAUGCUCCACUGCUUGUGCGGAGCCCCGUCUAUUCCUUUGAGUUUUAAUCUUGCGAUCGUACUCCCCAGGCGGCAUAUUUAACGCGUUAGCUACUCAGCACAGAGGGUCGAUACUCCAUACUAAUAAUAUGCAUCGUUUACGGCGUGGACUAC
rnacentral:misc_RNA from 1 species